CGCCCAGCCCCGGCACUGACCAGGAGGCGGUGCCCGGAGGGCGGGGCCUGGUCCGCCCCUCCCCUUGCACCGAACCGCCCGCCCCGCUGUUCUGGCAGCCACUUCCUACACCUGCCUUCUCACUGUCUCUCUGCGUCUACAGUCUCCAGGGCGGCGGCGGGCAGGCCUGCGUUUCCAUGGGCUCUUUGGGCAUCGCGCUGUGGCUGCGGCCUCUGGGGCUGCCCCAGAGCUCGUGGGUUGGAGCUGCGGUGAGAAUCAGGGAAGGCACUGCACUAUCACAGGAGCACGAGGGAAACCUAAGCAAAGAAGCUGUACAGAGAGAGAAAUAGAUGACAUCACCUGAGUUGAUGGAUGGAUCCAGCCAUACCUGAAACCAGCUAAGCUUUGGUCUUC